GGAAUAUUGGACAAUGGGCGAAAGCCUGAUCCAGCCAUGCCGCGUGUGUGAAGAAGGUCUUCGGAUUGUAAAGCACUUUAAGUUGGGAGGAAGGGCAUUAACCUAAUACGUUAGUGUUUUGACGUUACCGACAGACUAAGCACCGGCUAACUCUGUGCCAGCCGCCGCGGUAAUACAGAGGGUGCAAGCGUUAAUCGGAAUUACUGGGCGUAAAGCGCGCGUAGGUGGUUCGUUAAGUUGGAUGUGAAAUCCCCGGGCUCAACCUGGGAACUGCAUUCAAAACUGUCGAGCUAGAGUAUGGUAGAGGGUGGUGGAAUUUCCUGUGUAGCGGUGAAAUGCGUAGAUAUAGGAAGGAACACCAGUGGCGAAAGCGACUUCCUGGCCCAAUACUGACGCUCAGGUGCGAAAGCGUGGGGAGCAAAC
rnacentral:rRNA from 1 species